CCCAUAAUGACAACGUGAAAGAAGUUUGUUUGAAAUCUUUGCAAAUUUAUAAAAAAUAAAAAAAAGGGACAAAAAAAAAUCACAUGAUUAUAUAAGUAAUAUAUAAGAACAGCUCUGAAAAAGUUAAGAGAGCACUGCAAAAUUAUCAGUUUCUCUGGAUUUACUAUUUAUAGGAAUGUGUUUGAGUAAAAUGAACAUUCUAUAAAGUACUGAUAACAUUUCUCCCAAAUUCCAAAUUGGAAAAAUAGAGCAUUUAUUUGCAGAAAAUGACAAUGGUCAAAAUAACAAAAAAGAUGUAGUGUUUUCAGACCUCGAAUAAUGCAAAGAAAACAAGUUCAUAUUCAUUUUUAAACAGCACAAUACUAAUGUUUUGACUUGGGAAGAGUUCAGAAAUCAAUAUUUGGUGGAAUAUCCCUGAUUUUCAAUCACAGCUUUCAUGCGUCUUGGCAUGCUCUCUACCAGUCUUUCACAUUGCUGUUUGGUGACUUUAUGCCACUCUUGGCACAAAAAUUCAAGCAGCUCAGCUUUGAAUUUUUGUUCAAUGGGGUUCAGGUCUGGAGAUCGGGCUGGUCAUGACAGGUUCUUGAUCUGGUGGUCCUCCAUUCACACAUUGAUUGACCUUGCUGUGUGGCAUGGAAUAAAAAAUAAACCUCAGAGUUGGGGAAUAAUAUCAGAGCAGAAGGAAGCAAGUUUUCUUCCAGGAUAACCUUGUAUGUUGCUCGAUUCAUGCUUCCUUCACAAAAACGAAUCUGCCCGAUUCCAGCCUUGCUGAAGCACCCCCAGAUCACACCAGGCUGGAAUCGGGCAGAUAUCAGAGAAACUGAUAAUUUCGUAGUGGUCUCUUUUUUUUUUUUCCCCUUCAACUUUCUCCAGAUGGUUACUCCACAUUAAAUUUUUUUACUUCAAUCCCCAGAACAAAUAUCUAAAUUACUUUUAACUCAGUGAACAUGUUCAUCAUGGAAAUAAUUGUGUUGUGUGAAUUGCAUUUGUAAUGUAUUUUUUAAUAAUAGAUCGGGGCAACAAAAAAAAAAAGAGCUUCUCGUAAUUGACCCUGAUAAUGUUUGAAAACAAUUGAACAUGAAACCAAUGUUAUUUUGUUAAAAGUAGAUUAUCUCAAGCACAAAAAAUUAAUUUAAGCAUAAUGAGUAAAUGAGAUUGAAAUGCAAUUAUUUUCUGUAAUAUAUUCUAAUAACUUUCAUUAAAAAGUUGGACUCUGGAGUCGAAGAAACAAAUAAGUGACUAUCAAUGUGGCUUUAGACGUGGAAAGUGCACCUUGGAUCAGUUAAUCCGACUGGAAACUUAUAUUAGAGAUGGUUUCAUUAGAACAGAACAUGUUAUUGCCGUCUUUUUUGACUUGGAAAAAGCAUAUGAUACAACAUGGAGAUAUGGGAUUUUGAAAGAUCUUUACCACAUGGGUUUUAGAGGACGAUUACCCAUUUUUGUUUCCAAUUUUUUGGCUAGAAGAUAUUUUAAAGUCCAAGUAGGAAACACUUUGUCGGAUAUUCACAAACAAGAAAUUGGAGUUCCUCAGGGAAGCAUUCUUUCUGUCACUCUCUUCAGUAUUAAAAUAAACAGCAUUGAGAGCAUCAUUGGAUCUAAUAUAUUCUGCAGCCUGUAUGUGGACGAUCUCUGCAUCUGCUAUAGAGGGAAGAACAUGAGUACAAUUGAAAGACAACUGCAGUUAUGUAUUCACAAAAUAUAUCAGUGGUCAGUUGAAAAUGGAUUCAAAUUCUCUAAAUCAAAAACAGUCUGUACCCACUUCUGUAUCCAACGAUCCCUUCAUCUUGACCCAGAGCUCUUCAUUAAUAGAGAACUGAUUAGUGUCGUUAAAGAAAUUAAGUUCUUAGGACUUCUUUUUGACAACAAAAUGACUUUCAUUCCCCAUUUGAAAGCACUAAAAAACAGGUGUCUUAAAGCUAUGAAUAUAAUGAAAGUACUGGCAAAAACAAAAUGGGGAGCAGAUUACAUGGUUCUUUUGAGACUCUAUAGAACACUAAUUCGUUCCCGGCUGCACUAUGGAAGCAUAAUUUAUGACUCUGCCAGAGAAACAUAUAAGCAGAUGUUGGACUCAGUACAUCAUCAGGGCUUACGACUCGCCUUGGGAGCAUUUAGAACUUCGCUGAUGCAAAGCUUGUACAUCGAAGCCAAUGAACCUUCACUUCAAAACAGACGAUUGAAGCUCUCACUCCGAUAUGCUAUCAAAAUAAAGGCAAAUAAAACCAACCCCGCUUAUUCUUCAAUCUUCAACCCACAAUUUACUCCUUUGUAUGAGAGCAAACCUAAAAGUAUCAGAUCCUUUGGUAUUCGUAUUAAACCUCAUUUGGAGAACUUGAAUAUAAAUUUGAGCAUUUUAAACCAAAUACAAUUCAAUUCUAUAUCUCCCUGGAAAUUAAAGAAGCCUAAUAUCAAUUUGGACUUGACUCAUCAGAAGAAAGGGGUGACCCAUCCAAAUGUAUAUAGACAGCAAUAUUUGGAUAUAAGAAACCAAUUCCCCUACCAUGUACCUAUAUUCACAGAUGGCUCAAAGAUGGAAAACAGUGUAACGGCAGCAAUGGUGACUGGAAAUCAAUGCUAUGGAAUUCGUAUUCCAAAACAGUGCUCAAUUUUCUCUGCUGAGGCACGUGCUUUACUUUUAGCUCUGGAGCACAUUGAAAAUUCUCUGCAAAAAGUUUUUAUAAUUUUCACUUACUCUAAAUCCUGCCUUCAAUCAAUGGACACUUUAAAAAUUGAUCAUCCUCUAGUGGACUGCAUCUUAACCAAAGUGGAUUAUCUACUAAAUCAGUUCUUCAGCAUUAUUUUUUGCUGGGUUCCAGGACAUGUUGGUCUUUCAGGAAAUGAACAAGCUGAUGCAGCUGCUAAGGAAGCUCUUAAUCAGGAAGUUAACGAAUGUCAAAUCCCUCCCUCAGAUAUCAGACCGAUUAUUAACCGAUACAUUUUAAUUAAGUGGCAAGAAGAGUGGAAUUUGUGCAAGAACAAUAAGUUGUAUGUAAUUCAUCCGGAAAUUUUAAACAGACUUUUUAUCAAUUUUAAAACUAGAUUUGACCAAGUGGUCUACACCAGAUGCCGUAUAGGUCACACAAAUCUGACCCAUGCCUUUUUGCUUAAAGGUGAAGACCCAACCCUAUGUGUGUUCUGUAAUAUUCCCUUAUCUGUCAAACAUAUUUUACUAGAUUGUCCUGGUCUUAACGCAAGUAGAAUGCUCUUAUGAAGUUACCUCGUUAAAAGACUUAAUGAGAUUGUGCCUGAAAAGGUUUUGGAUUUCUUGUCAUAUGCUAAUCUUAAAAAAAAUAUUGUAUAAUAUGACUUGCUAUCUAUAUUUGUUUUGUUUUUAUUGUAUUUAUAUGAUAUCUGUAUUUUUGUAAUUGAAUUCUUGCCAUGAAAAUAGCUUUGAUUGCUGACAUGGCAUUAAACAAAACAUACUACUACUACUACUCAUUAAAAAGUAAUUGAUAAAGGUUUUAUUAAUCCUUAGGUAAUUCUUUGCAGUUAAUACAAAGAAUGCUUAGAAAUAUAAAACUUUGAUUCAUGUGCUUUAAUUUAAUAUUCAUAUGUCAAUGAUAGUAACUAUGGACAUUGUAAAAUUACUUUUUAAUGAAAGUAAUUAUAACGUGUCACAGUUUUUUGCUUUUGCUUUCAAAAAGCUCAUAUAGUAAGUCAUUCUGUGCAAUCUUCUGGGUGUCAUGCACAUCCAGUAAUUCAAUUACCUCAUGCUCUGUCAAAUUGCUUUGUCUUUCAUUGUUUUCUUUACAGUUCUUUCAGUCUGUACUGUGAGAUUAAUUAGAUAUUGGGGUGUAUUAGCUUUGAUCUUGUCUUUGUAAGCAUUUGCUGUUUCCUGACCUCUGCCUCUCAAUCAAUGUGUGUGUCUGGUGUUUAGAUAGAUGCAUUAGAGUGGGCCUUCCUGGUUUCUGGAGCCAAAUCUACUCAGUCUUAAUUGUUCCUUUUAUUAACAUGGAGUUGUUUUUGUUCUCAGCUUGGGUGGAGCCUAUGCAUGAACAACUCCAUUUACUUUGAAUGCAAAUUAUUAUUUUUCUCUGUGGUGACAUGAUAGGAUCAGAGGAUUUCUUAUACCAGUUGCUUAUAUAUAUAUAUAUAUAUAUAUAUAUGUAUAUGUAAUUAUUAGCUUAAUUGACUAGCUUUUUGGCCAGCAGCUUAGAUGCUUGUUAUUUGUCAUGGACAUAUUCUGUCCAAAUUGACUAAAGCCGGCAUCACACUAGCUGAUGUUUUUAGGUGUAAGCUUAAUUUACAUGAUCGCCGGCCAGUAGGUGAAGAUAGUCUGGAAUUCCUGCUAAGUUAACGGUUCCAGUAUUUGUUAAAGCACAUCAAAAUUGCUAAAUAACAAUUGUUUCUGACAAAAUGCAUCAUACGGCAAACAUUUUGGGAGUAAAUACACAAUCACAACCUUUUUGUAUAGGCAAGUGUUACAUACCUCCGAUCUCAGCCAAACAGUCAGCAUCUGUAACACCCUCGGCCAAAAUAUUUGUUUGAAGUCCGCUAGUGUGAUGCUGGCUUAACAGAAUUCUUACAACUGGAAAAAUCCUUCUGGAGAAACAAAGGGUUACUAUUAUUACCUUGCUCAAGGGUACAAUGGUGAUCACCUCAACUAUAGUUUAAACCUAUGACUUUGGUUAACUGCCAAGAUGUUUGCAGAUUAACAGCCAACUAUGCUAAUUAUUAUUUUUAAGGAAUCAUUGGUUUAUCUGUUGGUUGAUAGAUAUGAUUUUUUUUCAAUGGCCAGUACUGGUAACUAUAUCUAGAGAACAGGUUGGUCGAUGACUGAUGUAAUGCCAAAAUAUAUUCCCCAAAAAGUAAAGGUGCACUCAGUAUUUUUUUUUCCUCCAUUUAAAAUGUUUUACUCAAGGAAAAAACUUCAUGACCACAAACAUAAAAUGAAGACUCCAUUCAGAUCAGUGACCUUAUAAAAAAAAAAAAAAAGCUGUUUUAUUCUACAUGGAGAGGCUCCCCUCAUGGGGGCUGCAAUGCUAAAAUCACAUGGCCUGCUGAAUACUACUUGCUUAAUCUCAUCAACCGCCCUAUUUGACUCUUUGAUCACAUAUACAUCUGGGAUUAAGAUGCAUCUUUGGUGAUCCGAUCACAUGUGGUCAGGCAAAAAGACACUGUUUCUUGUAAAUUUUCCGCACCUUUACACAGAUUUGCAGGGAAGGGACUCUGUUUCAUUACGACAUGCAUCAAUCACUAUGUCAUUGUGUUGCUGCAUGACAUUAAAGUGUAACAAAUUUAGAAAAGACUUUGACCCAGAUGCAGCUGAAAUUUAAUCUAAGCACAAAAGCAACAUUUCAAGCAAAAUUGUGUUAUUUUAAUGGUUUACCUGUAUUAACCUGAGUUGCAGAUGUUCAAGCUUUUCAUAAGUGUCCGUGUUGGGGGGCCUGGCAUGCUCGGCAAUUAAAUACGCUGACUACCACACUUGGAGUUGGAAGUUCAAAUCCAGGGCAUGCUGAGUGACUCCAGUCAGGCUUCCUAAGCAACCAAUUGGCCCGGUUGCUAGGGUGGGUAGAGUCCCAUUGGGUUAACCUUCUCGUGGUCUCUAUAAUGUGGAUCUCACAAAAUGUUUUAGAUCCCAUUUACACCUUUAGAGCAAACCACAUGUGAUCAUAUAAAAAAAAAUGACAAAUUGUGACCAAAAAAAUCUUAAUACCAGGUGUAACCGUGUCUUUCACUCAUGCAUUAAAGUAAUCAUGGCUGACUAUGAAUAGUACAUUUGUACAAUGGCAUCUGAAACCAAAAACUAUUGGUUUUGAAUGAUGCUGCAUCCAAGACACAAGGUGUCGGUGUAAGUUAAAGAUGACUCAAACUAAAAAGUUACUGAGUGCACCUUAAAUGAUUAGAACUGACACUGGGCAGAAUGACACCUGAUAAUUGGCCAAGCAGGCUGAUGCCGAUAGUCCCAAAUUACCCUGUCCAACAUAUAAGUUUAUCACUAAUACCUGUAUUCUAGUGAGAUUUUCAUGCCAUGGACCACAGGAAGUUUUCAUUUCUAUCAGUUCACUGUCCUGAAAAGUCUUUAAAGAGCUCAAGAGAAGGGAAAGGCAAAGCAUAAUUUCUUAAUUAUUUAAUCAGUGGUUUCAGUAGAGCUAACUCAUUAACUAAUUGAUUUCGGGGGUUGGGUGUGGCUCGCUAGGUGUUUGUGCGUGUGCUUUUGCUGAUUGCUGUUUAAGAAGCUGCCGUAAAGCUUGGCGUGCCGUAAUUAUUUGGCGUGUAGUCCCCCUUGUUCUUAUGUUGCUAUCCCUCUCCUAGGGCAGUCAGACGCUGAGGCCAGCGGUUCAGUUACAGGUACAGGCCCAGACAAAAUUGCACUAGAAGGACUGGUGGUGCAAAGAGCUGAAUGUAGACCGGCUGUUAGUGAGAACUACAUGAAGCUUAAGAGACUGCAGAUUGAGGAGCUA